AGAGCGAACGCUGGCGGCAGGCUUAACACAUGCAAGUCGAGCGCCGUAGCAAUACGGAGCGGCAGACGGGAGAGUAACACGUGGGAACGUACCCUUCGGUUCGGAACAACCCAGGGAAACUUGGGCUAAUACCGGAUACGUCCGUAAGGAGAAAGAUUUAUCGCCGAAGGAUCGGCCCGCGUCUGAUUAGCUAGUUGGUGGGGUAACGGCUCACCAAGGCGACGAUCAGUAGCUGGUCUGAGAGGAUGAUCAGCCUCACUGGGACUGAGACACGGCCCAGACUCCUACGGGAGGCAGCAGUGGGGAAUAUUGGACAAUGGGCGCAAGCCUGAUCCAGCCAUGCCGCGUGGGUGAUGAAGGCCCUAGGGUUGUAAAGCCCUUUCGGCGGGGAAGAUAAUGACGGUACCCGCAGAAGAAGCCCCGGCUAACUUCGCGCCAGCAGCCGC
rnacentral:rRNA from 1 species